AUGACCUCCGUCAACAACCAGCGGUCAUCCAUCGGAAACAGCAUUACUCCCUCUGCCUCUCAUCCAAACGCAACUUCAUCUCUCUCAUUCGCCAUUCCUCUCUCGACUCUUCUAUCCACCAUGGCCGCUGUGCUCUGUUCCCUCCACGCAACCCACAGCUUCUGCACCGUCCGAUUUGUCAACACAACUCAACUUGGUCUUGUUUAUUAA